rnacentral:rRNA from 1 species
UACGUAGGGUGCAAGCGUUGUCCGGAAUCAUUGGGCGUAAAGCGCGCGUAGGUGGCCAUUUAAGUCCGCUGUGAAAGUCAAGGGCUCAACCUUUGAAAGCCGGUGGAUACUGGAUGGCUAGAGUACGGAAGAGGCGAGUGGAAUUCCUGGUGUAGCGGUGGAAUGCGCAGAUAUCAGGAGGAACACCAAUAGCGAAGGCAGCUCGCUGGGACGUUACUGACACUGAGGCGCGAAAGCGUGGGGAGCGAACAGG